rnacentral:rRNA from 1 species
AUUGAACGCUGGCGGCAGGCCUAACACAUGCAAGUCGAACGAGUGGCGGACGGGUGAGUAAUGUCUGGGAAACUGCCGGCUGGCGGGGAAUAACUCCUGGAACUGUUAGCUAAAACCGCAUACCUCCAUUUUUCCCCAGAUGGGUUUAGCUAGUUGGUGGGGUACCGGCUCACAAAGGCGACGAUCCCUAGCUGGUCUGAGAGGAUGACCAGCCACACUGGAACUGAGACACGGUCCAGACUCCUACGGGAGGCAGCAGUGGGGAAUAUUGCACAAUGGGCGCAAGCCUGAUGCAGCCAUGCCGCGUGUAUGAAGAAGGCCUUCGGGUUGUAAAGUACUUUCAGCGGGGAGGCGUUACCCGCAGAAGAAGCACCGGCUAACUCCGUGCCAGCAGCCGCGGUAAUAC